rnacentral:lncRNA from 1 species
CUGAUGAAACUGACAAAGGCGAGAGCGCGCAGCAGCCCACAGCAGCCGAGUUCGCGCCGCCGGUAGGUGCUGCCAUGCCAGGGGGCGGGAUCGUGGAGCGCCUCGCAGAACCGCACGAAAGCAAAAACAAAGCCAUCUCUCCGGAGCAGAAAUAGAACAGACGUGGCCGGGGAAAGCCAAAUAUUUGUGAGAUGAUGUGAACAAAGGGGGAAAAGUCAAUCCAGGGAAGUUUGAGUUUCUGGUUGGAGGCUUCAGCGGCUCUGAUCGCUGGAUACUUUAAGAGAACAUCCUUUGCCCCCGCUCUCCCUCUCUCCCCGAAGAAAAAUAAAUCCUUGGCAAAAUGAGACUUGACGGCAUGAAAAGAAGGUCUCCAGACUGUCCCAGCUGGCGCGGGCGGGGCCGGGGCCGAGGUGCCGCUUGGUGACACUGCAGCCGCGGCUCAGCACUGUCACCCAGAAAGGCCCGCCGACGUCUGUAUGCAGGGAACGUGGCUCUUAGCAGAGCCUGGACAGGCGCAGGGCCAAGGAAGUCUUUGUUUUUGUUUCUUUCUCUAGCCCUUCCUGCCAAUACAUCAGGGAUAUAACUCCUUGGUGUUUCUGCCUUACAAUCGCUCCUUAUACCCCACCCAGAUCCUCAGCACUGCAGCUCCCACUGCCACUGCCCGCUGUGAGUCACCUCCCCCUCUCCCUUUUUUAAACCAAACGGCAAGGCCAUAUUGCAGUUAUCCAUAAAUGGAAAAGCAAGAAGCCACCAAUACCUGUUUGAGAAGAUGGCAUUUUAAUUAGCACACUCCGGCUGCCAUAAACCCGGGCUCCUGCCCCACCUCUCCCCCCGCCCCCUCCUCCCCCCUCCCCCGCCGUGCCCUCUCUCAACCUCCCCGCUCACCCCCAUCUAUGUAAAAAAGCCAUAAAGCCUCUCUCCAAUCGCUUUCUCGGAGGGAGUUUUUGCAACCCCCACAACACAGGUUGAUUGGAAAGGUCUCUCUCCCGGAUAACAACAAUUCAAUGUGCCUUGACAUUUUAAUAGCCUGCCGUCCUGGUGAACACAAUCGAGCAAGGCAGUGAAGCAAACAUCAUUAGGUGGCUGGACUCAGACACAUCACGCUCCAGUUUGGGUUCCAAGGUGCUUCUCUCUGGAUUUUCACCUGCCUUGCCAAAAAUGAUUGAUUACGCUGGGCCAACUGGGUGUCCGGCAAUACCCAACAAAUGACUUUGGCCCCUAACAGCAGGUCUUGGCCAGACAGAAAUCAAUAUUUCACCAUUAAAAUCUAUCAAAGAAGAGUUAAGGCACCAUCUGUCCCUGCCGCCUCUCUAUGGUGUGUGAACAUUAAAUCCGACACUUGUACUACAUGGGUAAUCAAUAUAUAGUGGUUCACAGAUCAUUUGUGGUUCCCUUUUAGCAGUGAUGGAUGUCUGGAAUCGUUGUGAUUCAUUUUGUCAGACCAUUAAACAAGAUUCUGUCCAGUUCCUUCCUGA